rnacentral:lncRNA from 10 species
AUGGCCCGCUCCAUAGGCAGAUAAAAACAUGGCAGCUUGCUUUCUUAAGGCCAGCAAGAGAGGGAGAGAGUCUGCUAGCAAGAGGUAAUGGUAGAUAAUGUAAUCAAAAGAGUAACCACCAUCAUUUUGCUGUAUUCUAUUGGUUAGAAGGCAGCCAUGGAUUCCACCCACACUCAAGGAAGGGGAUCACACAGCAGCAUGAACACCAGGAGAGAGGAUCAUGAGGCCACCUUACAGUCUGUCUUCCACAAGGACUCAUCACCUAGGGAUAUAUGCCCUUGAAACAAAUGGAAAUAGACUCCCACAGGCUGAGGACAAAAGCACAGGAUCAACUAAGAUGCUAUCCAGGUGAAAGUGGAUGAGGGUUGGAUGUAGAACAUGAGGAAAAAUGAGGAGUCAAGGUUUAUCUCAGAUUUUUGUGCUGAACAACUGGAAGGAUGGAGUUGCCGUUAUCUGAGGUGGGGAAGAUUGAGGGAGAAUAUCAGGGGCCCUGUUUUGGAUACAUUUGAGCUGCCAGCCAUUUGAUGGCAGAUAAGUUAUGCUACGUACACUCAACCCUGGAAGGAGGAGUGAUUCAUCUUUAAUGGAACUGCCAUCUAUACCAGAUUUGGGUUUGCAUUCCACACCUGCAGCACAUCUGCAAGCAUUACUGCUUGAGCGCUGAGUGCUUCAUUUAUAGGCAUCAGAUUCCAGAUUCCACGGUAUUGCCUCAGAGGACCCAUUUAUGGCAAAGGAAGUAUGAGAUACAGUGGUUCUCCUUAUACUUCCCAUUACCUGGAAGCAGUAAGAAUGUUGGAAUGACAUAGUAAAGGUUCCAA